UAUCUCCUGGUGUAGUGGGUAGCGUCAUUGAUUCCCCCUUAUAAGGUCGCGGGUUCGAACCCGCUCGGGGUAA